rnacentral:rRNA from 1 species
AUUGAACGCUGGCGGCAGGCCUAACACAUGCAAGUCGAACGGUAACAGGAAGAAGCUUGCUUCUUUGCUGACGAGUGGCGGACGGGUGAGUAAUGUCUGGGAAACUGCCUGAUGGAGGGGGAUAACUACUGGAAACGGUAGCUAAUACCGCAUAACGUCGCAAGACCAAAGGGGGGGACCUUCGGGCCUCUUGCCAUCGGAUGUGCCCAGAUGGGAUUAGCUAGUAGGUGGGGUAACGGCUCACCUAGGCGACGAUCCCUAGCUGGUCUGAGAGGAUGACCAGCCACACUGGAACUGAGACACGGUCCAGACCCCUACGGGAGGCAGCAGUGGGGAAUAUUGCACAAUGGGCGCAAGCCUGAUGCAGCCAUGCCGCGUGUAUGAAGAAGGCCUUCGGGUUGUAAAGUACUUUCAGCGGGGAGGAAGGGAGUAAAGUUAAUACCUUUGCUCAUUGACGUUACCCGCAGAAGAAGCACCGGCUAACUCCGUG